UCGAGCGAACGGAUGAGAAGCUUGCUUCUCUGAUGUUAGCGGCGGACGGGUGAGUAACACGUGGAUAACCUACCUAUAAGACUGGGAUAACUUCGGGAAACCGGAGCUAAUACCGGAUAAUAUUUUGAACCGCAUGGUUCAAAAGUGAAAGACGGUCUUGCUGUCACUUAUAGAUGGAUCCGCGCUGCAUUAGCUAGUUGGUAAGGUAACGGCUUACCAAGGCAACGAUGCAUAGCCGACCUGAGAGGGUGAUCGGCCACACUGGAACUGAGACACGGUCCAGACUCCUACGGGAGGCAGCAGUAGGGAAUCUUCCGCAAUGGGCGAAAGCCUGACGGAGCAACGCCGCGUGAGUGAUGAAGGUCUUCGGAUCGUAAAACUCUGUUAUUAGGGAAGAACAUAUGUGUAAGUAACUGUGCACAUCUUGACGGUACCUAAUCAGAAAGCCACGGCUAACUACGUGCCAGCAGCCGCGGUAAUACGUAGGUGGCAAGCGUUAUCCGGAAUUAUUGGGCGUAAAGCGCGCGUAGGCGGUUUUUUAAGUCUGAUGUGAAAGCCCACGGCUCAACCGUGGAGGGUCAUUGGAAACUGGAAAACUUGAGUGCAGAAGAGGAAAGUGGAAUUCCAUGUGUAGCGGUGAAAUGCGCAGAGAUAUGGAGGAACACCAGUGGCGAAGGCGACUUUCUGGUCUGUAACUGACGCUGAUGUGCGAAAGCGUGGGGAUCAAACAGG
rnacentral:rRNA from 1 species